GACGAACGCUGGCGGCGUGCCUAAUACAUGCAAGUAGAACGCUGAAGAGAGGAGCUUGCUCUUCUUGGAUGAGUUGCGAACGGGUGAGUAACGCGUAGGUAACCUGCCUUGUAGCGGGGGAUAACUAUUGGAAACGAUAGCUAAUACCGCAUAACAAUGGAUGACACAUGUCAUUUAUUUGAAAGGGGCAAUUGCUCCACUACAAGAUGGACCUGCGUUGUAUUAGCUAGUAGGUGAGGUAAUGGCUCACCUAGGCGACGAUACAUAGCCGACCUGAGAGGGUGAUCGGCCACACUGGGACUGAGACACGGCCCAGACUCCAACGGGAGGCAGCAGUAGGGAAUCUUCGGCAAUGGGGGCAACCCUGACCGAGCAACGCCGCGUGAGUGAAGAAGGUUUUCGGAUCGUAAAGCUCUGUUGUAAGUCAAGAACGGGUGUGAGAGUGGAAAGUUCACACUGUGACGGUAGCUUACCAGAAAGGGACGGCUAACUACGUGCCAGCAGCCGCGGUAAUACGUAGGUCCCGAGCGUUGUCCGGAUUUAUUGGGCGUAAAGCGAGCGCAGGCGGUUUGAUAAGUCUGAAGUUAAAGGCUGUGGCUCAACCAUAGUUCGCUUUGGAAACUGUCAAACUUGAGUGCAGAAGGGGAGAGUGGAAUUCCAUGUGUAGCGGUGAAAUGCGCAGAUAUAUGGAGGAACACCGGUGGCGAAAGCGGCUCUCUGGUCUGUAACUGACGCUGAGGCUCGAAAGCGUGGGGAGCGAACAGGAUUAGAUACCCUGGUAGUCCACGCCGUAAACGAUGAGUGCUAGGUGUUGGAUCCUUUCCGGGAUUCAGUGCCGCAGCUAACGCAUUAAGCACUCCGCCUGGGGAGUACGACCGCAAGGUUGAAACUCAAAGGAAUUGACGGGGGCCCGCACAAGCGGUGGAGCAUGUGGUUUAAUUCGAAGCAACGCGAAGAACCUUACCAGGUCUUGACAUCCCGAUGCUAUUUCUAGAGAUAGAAAGUUACUUCGGUACAUCGGUGACAGGUGGUGCAUGGUUGUCGUCAGCUCGUGUCGUGAGAUGUUGGGUUAAGUCCCGCAACGAGCGCAACCCCUAUUGUUAGUUGCCAUCAUUCAGUUGGGCACUCUAGCGAGACUGCCGGUAAUAAACCGGAGGAAGGUGGGGAUGACGUCAAAUCAUCAUGCCCCUUAUGACCUGGGCUACACACGUGCUACAAUGGUUGGUACAACGAGUUGCGAGUCGGUGACGGCGAGCUAAUCUCUUAAAGCCAAUCUCAGUUCGGAUUGUAGGCUGCAACUCGCCUACAUGAAGUCGGAAUCGCUAGUAAUCGCGGAUCAGCACGCCGCGGUGAAUACGUUCCCGGGCCU
rnacentral:rRNA from 1 species